rnacentral:rRNA from 1 species
UACGUAGGGGGCAAGCGUUGUCCGGAAUCAUUGGGCGUAAAGCGCGUGUAGGCGGCUGAGUAAGUCUGCUCUGAAAGCCCGGGGCUCAACCCCGGGAGGCGGGUGGAUACUGCUCAGCUCGAGUCCGGAAGAGGAGUGUGGAAUUCCUGGUGUAGCGGUGAAAUGCGCAGAUAUCAGGAGGAACACCGAUGGCGAAGGCAGGUCUCUGGGCCGAUACUGACGCUGAGGAGCGGAAGCGUGGGGAGCGAACAGG